rnacentral:lncRNA from 1 species
UUCAAUCGAUGCUUAGACACUGAAGAUGAUUGACGUUGAGAAAUGUCUCAACUGUGUUCAAUCAUAAACCAUGAACUAAGUAGUGACUUGGUUCUGUAAUCUCUGUCAGCUAAAGCUAUUCACAACUAAUUAUGAAUUUAACGUGAAUAAGCUCGAAUGCAAAAAUAUUAAGUUGCUUAACAUGCUUAGGACUGUUAACCCCUUUAUC